rnacentral:lncRNA from 1 species
AAGUAAUAAGGCCCACUUCACAGCCCGUGUUUUGCAACCUGGACUCUGAUACCACUAAAUGUAACACCCCAAACCUGGGCCAGACGUUAUGGCUGUAUUUGGCAUGUUACAUUGAAGUGUUUUAGCGAAAAUCGUGUUUACAUUGAAAACCCUUCUUAAAAUAAAAGAACAUUUUAAAAAUAAACUCCUUUCAAUCACUUGUUUGAAACAUAAGAUUUGAUGAAAACAUGUCACUUACAAAUUUAGUUGCGGAAACGUAGAAAAGACAU